AUUCACUUGUACUAUAAAUGUGAAACAAAAGAUGCAUGCUUCACAAGAACAAACAACACGAGAGAUUACUCAAAGCCCACAUGUGGGGUUCAUUUAUAGCAUUUCAUGAAAAAUGAAGAGGGCUAUAAAACGAUCAAAACUCUAAUUUAUCAGCGAUCUCCCAAGGUGCUUCGCGAGAUGACGCUAAAAUUUACUUACCUUGUUCUAAGUAUACCUGGGAUCUAAUAUAUAAUAAACUGUUUGACAAAUGAUGAAUUAGGAUACUUGACGGCUAAGAAAGAACGAAGCGGCUCCCUAAUAUCAAGAGAAAUUGCCUAUUAACUUUAAAGCACUUCAAAAUUCGGGGGCACCUGUGCGCUCAGGAGUUGAAUAAGAGGACCAAACACUUGUGGCAGUGCUUCUAUCUGGGAACUUUGCCACAAUACACAAAAACUUCCAUUCUGUUUUAGGACUUUUAUCUUUUGUCUUUUCUUUCUUUACUGAGCAGGAUAUAUGCACACUUAUAUGAAAUCUGAUGCUCUAUAUUUUGUUCAACUUUUGUUAACAAUUUAGUAUCACAAAAAACUGGAAUGAGUAAUGUAACCAUCCAUUAAGAUGUAUAUCAAAGAUAACCAGGUGGUUUUCCUUGUUUAUAUAUUUAUACCAGUGUUAGCAUUAGCGUAAUAGUGUUGUAUGACAUGAGUACACGUGUACCGGUCAGUAACGUUAUCUUACUUUCUUAUUAUUUAAUGCUUAAUGAAUAAGAAAUUUUUUUUACCAAGCACCAAUUUAAAAUGAGCAAACAACAAAUAAAACCAAGCAAAGCAAGGUAAACAAAUAUUUGGUUAAAAAAAACCAAAAACAAAACAAACGAAACAACCCCCCCCUGAAAUAAACCAAACCAACCAAUACCACCCCCGCCUGAUAUAUCUUAUUCCUACGCCAUUACAGUCAAUGACGAACAAAUGCUAGAUUGCUACAUGGCUUUUCAAAUGCUGCUGGAGACAGUAUUUGUAAUAUUUGUACCAGUAAAUGGUGAUCAUGCUUAUAACAUGCUUGUACGAUAAACAAUCAACUGAGCUUACGCAACCCUGGUGUUGUAAAAAUAUUUUAAAAAUCAAUAUUAUAGGGAAUCAAUCUAUAAAAGUAUACUCAACGUC
rnacentral:sRNA from 1 species